CAGGCCUAACACAUGCAAGUCGAGGGGUAACAGGAGAGAGCUUGCUUUCUUGCUGACGACCGGCGCACGGGUGCGUAACGCGUAUGCAACCUACCUUCUACAGGGGGAUAGCCCAGAGAAAUUUGGAAUAAUACCCCAUACGAUCAAUAAUUGGCAUCGAUUAUUGAAGAAAACUCCGGUGGUAGAAGAUGGGCAUGCGUCCUAUUAGUUAGCUGGUGAGGUAACGGCUCACCAAGACAUCGAUAGGUAGGGGCCCUGAGAGGGGGAUCCCCCACACUGGUACUGAGACACGGACCAGACUCCUACGGGAGGCAGCAGUGAGGAAUAUUGGACAAUGGAGGCAACUCUGAUCCAGCCAUGCCGCGUGCAGGAAGACUGCCCUAUGGGUUGUAAACUGCUUUUAUACAGGAAGAAACCUACUUACGUGUAAGUAGCUGACGGUACUGUAAGAAUAAGGAUCGGCUAACUCCGUGCCAGCAGCCGCGGUAAUACGGAGGAUCCAAGCGUUAUCCGGAAUCAUUGGGUUUAAAGGGUCCGUAGGUGGUUAAUUAAGUCAGAGGUGAAAGCCAGCAGCUCAACUGUUGAACUGCCUUUGAUACUGAUUAACUUGAGUUAUUGUGAAGUAGUUAGAAUAUGUAGUGUAGCGGUG
rnacentral:rRNA from 1 species